ACGGAAGGCAGCAGUGGGGGAUAUUGCACAAUGGGGGAAACCCUGAUGCAGCAACGCCGCGUGAGGGAUGAAGGUUUUCGGAUUGUAAACCUCUGUCCUUAGUGAAGAAAAAAAUGACGGUAACUAAGGAGGAAGCUCCGGCUAACUACGUGCCAGCAGCCGCGGUAAUACGUAGGGAGCGAGCGUUGUCCGGAUGUAUUGGGUGUAAAGGGUGCGUAGGCGGCUAUGUAAGUCAGACGUGUAAUGCAGAGGCUUAACCUCUGAACUGCGUUUGAAACUGUGUAGCUUGAGUGGAGUAGAGGCAGAUGGAAUUUCCAGUGUAGCGGUGAAAUGCGUAGAUAUUGGAAGGAACACCAGUGGCGAAGGCGAUCUGCUGGGCUCUAACUGACGCUGAGGCACGAAAGCAUGGUGAGCAAACAGGAUUAGAUACCCUGGUA
rnacentral:rRNA from 1 species